rnacentral:rRNA from 1 species
UACGGGGGGAGCAAACGUUGUUCGGAAUUACUGGGCGUAAAGCGUGCGCAGGCGGUUUUGUAAGCCAGAUGUGAAAUCCCCGGGCUUAACCUGGGAAUGGCAUUUGGGACUGCAAGGCUUGAGUGCGGCAGAGGAGACUGGAAUUCCCGGUGUAGCAGUGAAAUGCGUAGAUAUCGGGAGGAAUACCGAUGGCGAAGGCAGGUCUCUGGGCUGACACUGACGCUCAUGCACGAAAGCGUGGGGAGCAAACAGG